UACAGAGGUCUCAAGCGUUGUUCGGAUUCAUUGGGCGUAAAGGGUGCGUAGGUGGCGAGGUUAGUCAGGUGUGAAAUCUCGGGGCUCAACCCCGAAACUGCACUUGAUACUGCCUUGCUAGAGUACUGGAGAGGAGAUUGGAAUUUACGGUGUAGCAGUGAAAUGCGUAGAUAUCGUAAGGAAGGCCAGUGGCGAAGGCUGAGUUCCUGGACAGUUACUGACGGCUGAGGCACGAAGGCCAGGGGAGCAAACGGG
rnacentral:rRNA from 1 species